rnacentral:rRNA from 1 species
AUGGAUCAUACAGGAAUACCUAGAUGGACUAAGUUGACAACUCCUAAUCUCAUGGUGUAUAGAAUUUUCUUUGAGGUGGAGGAAGUUUUGGAUGAAGUUUGGGCCAAGAAUGAGGAUGAACUGUCUCAAGGAUAUGAAGAAUGGAUGGACUUUCAACAUGGAGAGGAAGAGAGAAGAGAUUCCAAAAAAGCUAAGACAGGGGAAGAUGGUACUAACACAAUUUGUGCAAGCAUCAGAACCAUAAUUGCUUUGAAGGAUAGGGAUGUUGCACUUAAAGAACAAGAAGUUGUUGAUAAAGUACUAUAUACUAGAAAUCAAGACACUGACAAGAUGAAAGAGAGGGAUGAAGGAACAAGAUCCACUUCAGUCAAUGGGGAGGGAGAGAAAAAGAAUGAAAAUGAGACACAUAACAUAACUACGGAUAGAAAUCCAGAGGGAGGGGGUGAAGCAUCUCAGUCAGUCGGCUUGGGGACUAAACUGGGAAUUGAGUAUCAGGAAGAUGUGGUGAUGGAAAACAAAGAUGGUUAUGAACCAAAUCAAGGUUGUCCAAGAUACAGUGGGAGAAUUGCUUCAAAGAACAGAGAUGGCACCCCUAUUUUAGACAGAGCUAUGACUUUGGCCAGGGCAAAAAAUUUGGCUCUUUCUGAAGGUGAGGGAGGACGAAAAGGUGGAGCUGCAACAGGGUGCAAAGCUGCUGGAAUGAGUCGUCGAUGA